GUCUUUAAAAUAUAAAUUAAUUUUAAAGGUUAAGCUUGCAGUACUGUGGUAGGAAUGUUUCUACCUAACACUGUCUGACAUAUAUAUAUUAUUGUGUAAUACUUUAGUAUAGUAUUUGUAGUAUUUUCACAAUUGAUUACUCAUUUCCUGCUAUCUGCUAGACAAGUUUUUGAACAUCAUAUGUGUCAGCAUUUUCUUGUUGAAUCUUGUUGAAACAUAGGUGAGUAAUUCACUUUUAAGGCCCCUUUUUAAUGAGAACAUAACAGGGAAAGUGUAGGUUUAAAUGAUUGAUCGUAUUGUAUUGGAAAUGAUCUGGAUAUCAAUCACUACAAUUGGGCAUCUAUAGCAGACAAAAUGUGUCUUUAAUUAUAUAGUAGAAUUUCAUUUUUUUAUUUUUUUAUUCUAACGUUUUUAUCUAUUAUUUUGUUAUUAAACUGCUAAUUUACACCAACAGAACCAAAGCAAAUUCCUAGUGUAUACCUCUUACAUCUGGCAAUAAACACAAUUCUGAUUCUGAUAUGUGCAAAGUACAGCGAUAAUAGUAAAAAAAAAUUGCAUUUUCUUGUUAAAUCUUGUUGAAACAGUGUGACUAAAUUAACUAGUAAGGCCCUUUUUAAUAAGAAUAAUAUCAGGAAAUGGUCUAAUGAAACGAUUUCGAUCUCAAUCAAUGCAAUUAAGCAUCUAUAGCAGCCAAAAUAAGUCUUAAAAUACAUAUUAAUCUUAAAAUUUAAGCUUGAACCACUGUAAAUGAUCAGAAUUAGGUUUAUUACCAAGUAUGUUUUCACAUUAAAGGGAUUUACCUUGGUGUUUUGGUGCGUAACGAUAAACAAAAUAAAAAUAAACAUAAAUAUAGAAUAGACCUAUUUACAAUAAAAAUAUGUAAAAUAUAGUUUUUAAAAUGCAAGAUCUGUACAGUUUUUGCAAAAUAUUGAAUUAUAGAAAAUAUGUUCAAAGUACAGAGAUAAUAGUAAAAAAAAAUGUGCAUUUUCUUGUUAAAUCUUGUUGAAACAUAGGUGAGUAAUUAACUAUUAAGGUUCUUUUUUAAUAAGAAUAAUAACAGGGAAAGUGUAGGUUUAAAUGAUUUUAUUGCAUUGGAAAUGAUCUGGAUAUCAAUCACUGCAAUUGGGCAUCUAUAGCAGACAAAAUGUGUCUUUAAUUAUAUAGCAGAAUUUCAUUUUUUUUUUAUUCUUAUUUUACUCUAACGUUUUUAUCUAUUCUUUUGUUAUUAUACUGCUUAUUUGCACCAACAAAACCAAAGCAAAUUCCUAGUGUAUACCCCUUACACCUGGAAAUAAACACAAUUCUCAUUCUGAUAUGUGCAAAGUACAGAGAUAAUAGUAAAAAAAAUACGUGCAUUUUCUUGUUAAAUCUUGUUGACACAGUGUGAGUAAUUUAUUAUUAAGGCCCUUUUUAAAAAGAAUAAUAUCAGGAAAUGGUCUGAUGAAAUGAUCUACAUCUCAAUCACUGCAAUUAAGCAUCUAUAGCAGACAAAAUAUGUCUUAAAACAUAUAUUAAUCUUAAAAUUUAAGAUUUCAGCACUGUAAAUGAUGGGUGCAUACCAGAAUUAGGUUUAUUACCAAGUAGGUUUUCAUAUAUAAAGAAUUUGCCUUGGUGUUUUGUUACAUAAUGACAAACAAAAUAAAAGCAACAUAAAUAUAGAAUAGUCUUAUUUACAAAAAAAAUAUGUAUGCAAAAUAUUAAAUUAUAGAGAAUAUGUGCAAAGUACAGAGAAAAUAGUCAAAAACAUGACUUUUAAUAAGAAUAAUAACAGGAAAUAGUCUAAUGAAGUGAUUUACAUAUCAGUCACUGCAAUUAAGCAUCUAUAGCAGACAAAAUAUGUCUUAAAAUAUAUAUAUAUUAUUCUUUAAAGUUACGCUUGCAGCACUGUAAAUGAUGGGUGCAUAUCAGAAUUAGGUUUAUUACCAAGUAGGUUUUCACAUACAAGGACUUUGCCUUGGUGUUUUGGUGCAUAACAAUUAGGGAUGCACCGAUACCGGAUCAUAUAUCGGGCCAAUAUUGACUAAACUAGCUGAG